AAGUCGUAACAAGGUUUCCGUAGGUGAACCUGCGGAAGGAUCAUUAUCGUAAAACAAAGGCCGAUAGGUUGUCGCUGGUCCCCUAGGGACAUGUGCACGCCUUUGGUCGAUAAUCCUUCACACCCCUGUGCACCUCUGCGUGUGGUUCUCUUUUCCUCCCUUCCUAUCGACCCGUUCAUUCGGGUUGUAAGGUUGGAGAAGGGAGGGACCCGCGUCUUAUUAUAAAACACCCUUGUAUGUCUUACGAAUGUCUACUAUGCGAUAAAAAGCAUCUAAUACAACUUUCAACAACGGAUCUCUUGGCUCUC
rnacentral:misc_RNA from 1 species